UACGGAGGGGGCUAGCGUUGUUCGGAAUUACUGGGCGUAAAGCGCGCGUAGGCGGACCUGCAAGUCGGGGGGUGAAAACUCGAGGCUCAACCUCGAGAUGUCGGCGGAAACCAUCUGGCUAGAGUCCGGAAGAGGAGAGUGGAAUUCCCGGUGUAGCGGUGAAAUGCGCAGAUAUCGGGAAGAACACCUAUGGCGAAGGCAGCUCUCUGGGACGGUACUGACGCUGAGACGCGAAAGCGUGGGGAGCGAACAGG
rnacentral:rRNA from 1 species